rnacentral:rRNA from 1 species
UACGUAGGGUCCGAGCGUUGUCCGGAAUUAUUGGGCGUAAGAGCUCGUAGGCGGUUUGUCGCGUCUGCUGUGAAAUCCCGAGGCUCAACCUCGGGUCUGCAGUGGGUACGGGCAGACUAGAGUGCGGUAGGGGGAGAUUGGAAUUCCUGGUGUAGCGGUGGAAUGCGCAGAUAUCAGGAGGAACACCGAUGGCGAAGGCAGAUCUCUGGGCCGUAACUGACGCUGAGGAGCGAAAGCAUGGGGAGCGAACAGG